AACUAGGGCAAGGUACAAUCCCGUGCAAGCCGGGAUCAGGGGUAGUGCGAUCUACCCCUGCUACGCUCAACCUACGUCU
rnacentral:ribozyme from 1 species